AAUAGAUACCCCCGGGUAGUCCACGCUGUAAAACGAUGAGGACUAGAUGUUGGUAGGGGAACCUAUCGGUAUCGAAGCAAACGCGAUAAGUCUUCCGCCUGGGAAGUACGGCCGCAAGGUUGAAACUCAGAUGAAUUGACGGGGGCCCGCACAAGCGGUGGAGCAUGUGGUUUAAUUCGAUGCAACGCGAAGAACCUUACCUACCCUUGACAUCCUAGGAACCCUGCAGAGACGUAGGGGUGCCGAAAGGAACCUAGAGACAGGUGCUGCAUGGCUGUCGUCAGCUCGUGUUGUGAGAUGUUGGGUUAAGUCCCGUAACGAGCGCAACCCUUGCCCUUAGUUGCCAGCAUUAAGUUGGGGACUCUAAGGGGACUGCCGGUGAUGAACCGGAGGAAGCGGGGACACGUCAAGUCAUCAUGGCCUUUANGGGUAGGGCUACACACGUGCUACGAAUGGGGCGUACAGAGGGUAGCCAAACCCGGCGAGGGGGGANCCGAAUCUCAGAAAGCGUCUCGUAGUCCGGAUUGGAGUCUGCAACUCGACUCCAUGAAGUU
rnacentral:rRNA from 1 species